rnacentral:lncRNA from 1 species
AGGCAGAUUUCUGUGAUUCCAGAACAGCCAGAACUAUAUUGUAUGACCCUGUUAAAAAAAAAAAAAAAAAAAAAAAAAAAAAAAAAAAAAAAAAAGAAGACAAAGAGGGAAAGACCCAGACAGACAGAAAGCCACAAUUAGUUAAAUGUAGAAAACAACUGAUUAUGGGAUGGCCAGCCCCAACAGAUACAAUUACAACACACAACUCCUGCACAUAAGGCUCAGGCAAUGUCUUGGGAGAAAGCAGAAGGACUGUGAUAGUCAAAGGACCAGGAAAUCUGCUGUGAGAUUGUGUCUUCUAGCUGUGACAUGAAGCUAUACCUGAGGCCUCAACAGCAUGGCUGCCUAAACAAGACCAGAACAAUUUCUACACCAGCUGACAUCCUAAAGUAGAUGGAGAAAUCUCAGAGGCCGAAAGCCCUAGAUGAAGAGCCACAGCCAACUAACAACUUGGGAGAGAGGGAGAACUAGUCUCCAGGGACGAUCCCCUGAUUGGUUAUCCAGUAGCAGCAAGUGGUCAGCCUUGGAUACACAGGCAUGCAGCCACACUGCCCAAACUCCAAAGGAUCUCACUAUGUAGACCAGGCUGACCUUCAACUCAC